rnacentral:rRNA from 1 species
GUUAUGGCUAGGGGGUUAUUGCAACUUACCAACCCAUGGCAAACUAAGAAUACCAUCAAGUUGCUCCUCGGGAGACAGACAUCGGGUGCUAACGUCCGGUGUCAAGAGGGAAACAACCCAGACCGCCAGCUAAGGUCCCAAAUGAUAGAUUAAGUGGUAAACGAAGUGGGAAGGCACAGACAGCCAGGAUGUUGGCUUAGAAGCAGCCAUCAUUUAAAGAAAGCGUAAUAGCUCACUGGUCGAGUCUUCCUGCGCGGAAGAUGUAACGGGGCUCAAAUCUAUAACCGAAGCUGCGGAUAUACUUUUGUAUAUGGUAGGGGAGCGUUCUGUAAGCCUGUGAAGGUGACUUGUAAAGGUUGCUGGAGGUAUCAGAAGUGCGAAUGUUGACAUGAGUAGCGAUAAAGUGGGUGAAAAGCCCGCUCGCCGAAAGCCCAAGGUUUCCUACGCAACGUUCAUCGGCGUAGGGUGAGUCGGCCCCUAAGGCGAGGCAGAAAUGCGUAGUCGAUGGGAAACAGGUUAAUAUUCCUGUACUUUGAUUCAAUGCGAUGUGGGGACGGAGAAGGUUAGGUUAGCAAACUGUUGGAAUAGUUUGUUUAAGCCAGUAGGUGGAAAGAGUAGGCAAAUCCGCUCUUUCUUAACACCGAGACGUGAUGACGAGUGUCUACGGACAUGAAGUGACCAAUACCACGCUUCCAGGAAAAGCCACUAAGCUUCAGUUGAAUCAGAACCGUACCGCAAACCGACACAGGUGGGCAGGAUGAGAAUUCUAAGGCGCUUGAGAGAACUCGGGAGAAGGAACUCGGCAAAUUGAUACCGUAACUUCGGGAGAAGGUAUGCCCUCUAAUGUUAAGGACUUGCUCCGUAAGCAUCUGAGGGUCGCAGAGAAUCGGUGGCUGCGACUGUUUAUUAAAAACACAGCACUCUGCUAACACGAAAGUGGACGUAUAGGGUGUGACGCCUGCCCGGUGCUGGAAGGUUAAUUGAAGAUGUGCAAGCAUCGGAUCGAAGCCCCAGUAAACGGCGGCCGUAACUAUAACGGUCCUAAGGUAGCGAAAUUCCUUGUCGGGUAAGUUCCGACCCGCACGAAUGGCGUAACGA